UGGUCACUGUUGCAUGGAAAAGAGCCGUGUGAACAUCCUGCUAAACAUCUCCAUUUGUGUUCCAGAAAACAAAAACAGUGAGGCUCUUCUGCAUUGUUUCCUGCGGUCAAGUGUUGCCCCGUCGCUGGGGGUCAAAGGUCACCUGGGUCGAGCGAAUCUGCCCCGCCACAAUCCUGAUUAGCCAGCAACCAAUAGUGUGCGUUUGGGGGCGGGGCUAUUGGUUUGAUUGACCAAUCACAGAUGGGAGGAGUGUCGGUUAAGCUUAUAUGGUGCAAAAAUUACACACUUCAGCUUUACAGCAAGGAAA